AACGUUCUCACACGAGAACCUGUGGGUCGGGUGGUCCAGGCAGCCCUGAGGUUAGUGGGGCACAUUGCUGCCCGGAUGACCUGAGCGCUUGCUAGAUUGAAGGGAUGUUUCCUAUCCCUUCGCUGCUUAACUGGCUUAGAAAGUGAGUGAAUGAGGAGAGAACACGGUUACAUGGAAGCCGUUAUGGACAUGAAAGCCAAACCCACCUUAAAGUUGUCACCGCGACCCCAAGUUGUAGGUGGACGCCAGAAGCGAAUUUAGACUCAGACCUGGGCAAAUUAGUGGAUGUGAUAUUCCAGGCUUAAGUAAACUCAGGUGGUUAAAACCAAGACAGCAUCCCUAGCCCAGGCUUGGUCCAUGAAUCUGGCCAUUCAUUUGUGGCCCACCACUGCCCUCUGGUGGCACUCUAAAAAAUGCAGCUUAGUUUUAAAGAUGGGGUUAGCGUGUCUGACUUAACCUGUUUGUUUGUUUGUUUGUUUGUUUGUUUGUUUGUUUAAGCACGUACCCUCGGUAUUUGGGUCUCAGGACCAGUUUAACUCACCUGCAUGAACCCAGUCAUGCUGUGAUGAGAAUAAAAUGAGCAGAAGACAGCGUAUCCCAUGCCUCUCUCUGGCCCUGCCGUUGUCAGACAAUCCAGCUACCUCUUGGGAACUGCCGUUUCUAUCAGACACUAUUGCUAUUGCGUGGGGCCUUUUAUCUGAGCUGUAGCAUUGAUCCUCUAAGAUGGGUGCGGUAAUUAGCCGUGCUACAGAUGAAGAAGUAGAGGCUCACAGAAGACGUCUGGCUCUUCACAUAUGAAUAUGAAUUCAGCCCCUGGUGACAACAACCUGUAAAGAUGUAAUUCCGUAUCCAGUCUCGCCCCGAGCAGAAUGCACAGGGAGAUAUGACUUUAAAGUAGUGUUCAAGCACACACAUACUUUCUGCAUGUUUUUUGGAAUCUGAGACUAAAUUCUAGAUGGGCUCUUAGCCUGUCACGCAGGGAUGGAGACUCCGGGAUGGAGGGAGCAGGACAGAGGCGUGGAAACCCUCUCACCCUGAGAAGACACCGUUUCUGGGGAUGAUGCGGCUGUCCAAUGGGUGUUGGAGAGCCAGAAGGCAGAUUCAAAGCGUUUGCGUUACCCCGCCCUCUCUACCUGCAAUUGAAAGCAGCCUCCGCUUUGGCCUGUAGAUGGCAGCCUAGGCUCAAUUGAACCCAAGCCUGGUUUGGUUUGGUUUGGUUUUGGGGUGCCCCAAUUCCCACCAGCUGAGAAUCACUUUCAGGGGGAGGCUUGGGGUGUUAUAAACUGCUGGUGCAUGGGACUGGGCCUCGGAGACUCUGAUAGUGAUGAUCUCGUGGGUGACCGGGGCAAUUUGCUGUUGUUGGGUAUUUGCUUCCUUGCUCGCUCGCUUGCUUGGAGACAGAUGUUUGCUAUGUUGCUUCUGCUGGCAUCUAAAUCCUGGAAUCAAGUAAUCCUCCUGCCUCAGCCUCCCAGGUAGCUGGGAGUAAGAAUGCAUUUAUCCCACAGUGCCUGACCAUAAACGUCGUGUUUUACAAAGCUCCACAGCCGGCUCUCCACCAAGGUUAGGAGUGACGGUUUGCACGCUGGGCGCCGUGGUUCCUGUGGGUUUGGUGGGCUGCUCAUUUGACGUCCUUUCCUUGCUGUACCUUGUGGAGCCUGGGCCCACAGAAAGAGAGGAGGACAAUGAGAAGGGGCGUCAUGUGGAGGAAUGAAGAAUACAGUCCAGACGGGAGAGAAAAUAAAGGAGGUUCUUCUCAGGCUGAGAGGAAGGAGCCUAAAGGGAGCCUGCUCGGCGAUUAAAACCCGUUUCCUUCCUUACAGAAAAGAACUACGCCAUGUAGAAGACUAAGGAUUGUUCUAGAAAGCUAGAAAACCUGCCCCUUCUACUGACCAGAGCUUUAACAUGAAUCCUGGUAGGGGCGCUGUGGACUUCAGGGCUUUGGGGGGGGGGGGGAGGACCUGGCCAGGCAGGGAAGUGGCAAGGAGUGGUAAGGGGUGUGGACAGCAGAAGUGGCUUCACAGAGAAAGUGGCGUCUUCCCAUGUGGACAUAUAUCCUGUGAGGCAUUAGCUGCUACAAAUGGUCCUCUCUUCCCAAUAGCUUCAUGCACAAGAAUGGAGGCUGGCUAGUCCAGUGCCUUCACGAAGAGGAACAGCAAGGGACCUGUUGCCAUAGCAACUCAUCAGGCACAGUCACACCACCAUGUCCCAAUUCUCAUCUUUGGGCAAAGCCUCAUCAUUGAGCAUCCCCCCCCCCAAAAAAAAAUCAUACUGAAUACGCAAAACUCCACGAUGAACAAAAUUUUAAAUUGAGACACGAUCCCUAUCUCCAGCUUUCCCUUUUACCUCAACUUGAAUAGCCAACAGCAUCGCUGUGGCACUUUCUAAUGAAUGCAGGCUGCGGUGGUGGGGAGCCCUUCGCUGUCCACCCACAUCUUUCCGGAGCCACUUACAGCACCUGUGGAAUGUGAGUUAUCACAGAUCUGUGAUCUGUCCGCUGAGAUAAAUUCUUUCCUCUUCAGUUUGCUUUUGGCCCUGGUGUCUUAUCACAGCCGUAGAAAGCAAGCCAAGAGAGAAACUGACAACCUAUAUUUUUACUUAAGAUUCCAGUAGGUCUUCCGGUCAUGAAAGCCUGGGUGAGUGGAUCUCUAGGAAUGCUUGUGGUUAUAGUAAUGACCACCGGCAUUGCCAGUUGGAAAAGCGAAACAAACAAAAACUUUACUUUCUUUUGCAAAAGUUUAUUUUAAUUGAUUGAAAACCACAUUACUCAUUAGGAACCCUGUGGUGUCUCAACCCACUGCACACUUGCAUAAUGUACCAAUAGUUCCAGAUCUGUGGGAACUGUGCUCCUAGCGGAGCAGUGGUGCCACCUAGUGGGAGAGUCUGGUACCGAGCACUCAAGGAUAACGCCAAACACAGCAUGACGUCCUGGAGCCUCGGCUUCAGCGCAGGUCUCUGGUAAGGGAGGCCAUGCUUAGGAACUUACACCGUGGUCGUUGAGAUGGAGCAGAUGGGAGACUGUGUGGACAGACGGGUCAGGAGGUAAGGGAGUAGGUAGGCGGGGUGUCCCCAAGGUAGAAAAGUCUCGUGACACAGCCACACACAGAUAGGGUGACCCUGAGACAGACUCUUAGCCCCUACUUUCCCAUCAGUGGAAGUGAGAGAGACCGAGACAAUAGAGAAUGUAUCUCUAACCUCUAUUAUCUUCACUUCACCUACUUGGGACAAAUAUGAGAAAAUCAAGUCCCCAGAGUCUUUGAAAACACAGGGUAUCAGGGUAGGCACUGGAAAUACAAAGAUAGGUAAGAUAGAAAGUUCGAUCGAAGUUGACCUGGGUACUGAAGUGGCUGAGGGGGGAGCAGGGAAAAGUCAAGGCCUGGUAAGCUACAGAGUGGGUUCAAAGCCAGCCUGAGCAACUCAGUGAGACCUUGUCACAAAAUAAAAAUAAAAAGUAAAUCAUAGGCUGGGGAUACAGCUUAGUUGUGAAGUCUCUGUGUAGCUUGUGUGAGGUCCAGAUUUGACCUCCAUGAUUGAAGACAGGGGCUGCUUCCAGAAACAUGUCAGAAUGUGCACUGGUGGCUGAGCUGGUGUGAAAAGACAGCCUAGCGGUGCGAGAAUUUCAGCAAACGGAAAGUGACCGUGUUUGCGGGGAAUCAAGUGAGGGUACUUUUCUUCUGUCACAGGUGGGAUGCAGCGUGAUCGUAACAGAGGCCAUGCGUGUUUGGGUAGAACUGUGGAGGGUCACACAGGUUUCACGCCGGCCUCUGAGGAGAUCUCCGUUGUGCUACACAGACUCAGCUGUGAGCUUGGACACUGUAUAUCGUUCCCAUUUUACUGUGGCUCACUUUACUCGAGUGGGAAAAGAAGAUGCGUUCCGGAGAAAUCAUACUUGGACUUGGAGAUUUUGAUCCUUUCCUGGGCUGGCCACACGGAUCUUUGAUGCCUUUUCAUCUAGGGUAGCAGCAGCAAGCUGUUCCCAGGGAGCCCCAUGGCCAUGAAGUAACUGGUCCUACUGUGUUCCCAGGGAGCCCCAUGGCCAUGAAGUGACUGGUCCUAUUGUGUUCCCAGGGAGCCCCAUGCCAUGAAGUGACUGGUCCUACUGUGUUUCCAGGGAGUCCCAUGGCCAUGAAGUGACUGGUCCUACUGUGUUCCGGGCAAAUGAGCCAAGAUGCUUGCCAGACUGGGAUGUCAAGCACACCCUCGACUGCUGCUGGCUUUUCAUUUAUGACGGCUAUGGCCCAGGUGCUCUUGAACCAAACAGCUAGUAAAGUCACGUGCAUCUCAGAGCAUGGGGUUUUUGUGUUGGGUAUUCUUUUAGUUAUUCUUUGGCAUUUUGCGUGUGUUUACGACGUGUCAUGAUUAUAUUUACCAGACCUGAAGCAGGAGGAUGGAAAAGGCAAGGCCUGGUAAGCAAGUCAGCCUGAGCAACUCAGUAAGAAGUUGUAAAACAGCAUUGAAACCGGAGGGCUGGGGAUGUCGCCUGUCUCCUUCCCACCUCCUGUCCUUCCCUUGUCUUUCUUCCUUUCCUGUGUGUUACCCGUUGAGUCCAGG
ensembl:lncRNA